rnacentral:rRNA from 1 species
UACGUAGGGUGCGAGCGUUAAUCGGAAUUACUGGGCGUAAAGCGUGCGCAGGCGGUUUUGUAAGCCAGAUGUGAAAGCCCCGGGCUCAACCUGGGAAUGGCAUUUGGGACUGCAAGGCUUGAGUGCGGCAGAGGAGACUGGAAUUCCUGGUGUAGCAGUGAAAUGCGUAGAUAUCAGGAGGAACACCGGUGGCGAAGGCGGCUUUCUGGACAGAUACCGACGCUGAGGCACGAAAGCUAGGGGAGCAAACAGG